rnacentral:rRNA from 1 species
UACGAGGGGGGCAAGCGUUGUUCGGAAUUAUUGGGCGUAAAGGGCGCGUAGGCGGUGCGGUAAGUCACCUGUGAAAACUCUGGGCUCAACUCAGAGCCUGCAGGCGAAACUGCCGUGCUUGAGUGUGGGAGAGGUGCGUGGAAUUCCCGGUGUAGUGGUGAAAUGCGUAGAUAUCGGGAGGAACACCGGUGGCGAAGGCGGAUCUCUGGGCCAUUACUGACGCUGAGGAGCGAAAGCGUGGGGAGCGAACAGG